UUCAGGCGUUCAAACCAGCCGCAGAGAAGAGUGGAGUAUAGGGGCCGGUAGGGGAGGAACAGGUGGGAGAGAUUAGCGGAUAAUUUCGCUUAUUUUUAGCGUAUUUUAGCUGAUUUUAGCGUUCUGCUUGUGGUUUAAGGUGUUUAAACCACUGUCAGACGCGUUUAAGGAGGACUGGAGAACAAAACAGCUGAUUCGGCGUCGGUGCAGACGGCUGAUGACCCGCGGUCCCGGACCCGCAGUACCGAGAUGGGCGAGUGGUGGACCCCGCCCAUGAUGCCGGACCCCUCCCUGGACACUAAAGAACUCUCCAGCAUUUCCCACAUUAGCUCCGCCUCCACCUCCGCCUCGGAUCCGCCCAAACACUCCUACAGCGUCCUCCACGCCUUCUGCACCGAGGAGAACAUCUCCCAGUGCAUCUCCUACAUCAACCAGGUCAGACCAGCUUCCUCACCGCCACCGACCCUCACCGCCACCGACCCUCACCGCCACCGACCCUCACCGCCACCGACCCUC
rnacentral:lncRNA from 1 species